CACUGGCUACAGGUCUAUCAACGCCGUUCGGUUCGGGCCCGGUGACCGCAGAGGGCUGGACUCGCGACGAGCCCGUGGCGCCUCUGGACCUCGCACCCGCCAUCUUGACGGAUGAACACAUUUGCGGCACCAGGUACGUGGUGGGCGCGGACGGGUCGGGCGCGCUGGCGCAGGGCGCGGCGGCGCUGGCGGCGGCGGGCGCGCCGG